GGAGGGGUUCGCGGUGCAGAGCGAGAGCCCAGGCGUUUAACCCCUUGCAGUUCAACCGCGGGUCUGCGCUGCCCUGGAGAGGUGCUCACCGGAUCUUCUGAUGUCACGGGCUUGGGACCAUCUUACACACUAGCCUCCAGUCCUGGGCCAAUCCAAGGUGGCAGAUGUUUCACGGGUGAGGAGCCCGGACUUCAGCCAGGCAGUCCAGAUCCAGAAAGUGCCAUCUCCAUCACUUCAUGACGGAGGCCUGAAGAGAUGAGAAGGUUAGAAACAACCUCAGUGUCCAACAAAAGGGGAUUCAUGAAAUGAAUUCUAUUUCCACUCAAAGGGAUACUCUAGCCACCAUGGGCAUGCUACAGAGGAAUAAAAAUGGGGUGAAAAAUCAUGAUGCAUUCAGCAAAUGAGCUGGAUAUAAAGUGAUACGUAUCAAGUCUGAGUCCACUAAAGGGAAAGAAAGUACAGUAAAACAUGGAAGAAGAGAGGGAGACAAGGAAAAAGGGAGAAAGAAAAUGUUUACAGAGAUUAUCGCUAGGUGCGUUGUAGGGAAGUUCACCUUUUCAUUACGCAUAUUUUCUAAAACUAAGUUACUUGAACAUAAGCAUCAGAUGAACAUCUACUAUGCUUGGAACACCUCCCCCCAUCUUUCAAGACCUGGGGUGUGUUCCUCCUCAGUGUCCCCACCUAUGGGGGCUGGGGAAAGGGAGGGCUCUGGGACCUCAGGGCUCUGGCAUCCCAUGCCUCCCACGCCUCCGCCGUCCAGGGUCUUGUGCACACUCUAUGCACACACGGCCACUACACAGCAAGCACAUGGUCAUGUGGAAAUCACAGAAAGGAAAGGAGCAAUCAGCUCCAGUCCCACCCACUCAGCAUUCUGGAGCAUGACGAGUUGUGUCAUUGGACCUUCCUAAGUAAUCAUGCAUGUGAUCGAGGGGAGAAGGCCGGAGAGGUUAUAUGACUUGCCUGAAGUCACACAGCACACUAGGGGCAGAGUUGGUCUGUAUCCACAAAUAAUUAUCCUCCAGAUUAAUUCCUUAUUUAAAGGGGCUGAGUGGAGCCCCUAGGACUCUGACUCCUCCCCCCAGUCGUUAGUCCUUGGCUGUGAUCCCAGGACUCCAAGGAGACUGACACUUGGGCUCCCAUUAUGGCUUUGAUCCCUGUCUCUCUCCCAAAAUAGGGAGGUGCUGGCAAGGACCUGGGGUUGGUGUGGGAGCAGCCCUGGGGUCUCAUUUGGCAACCACACUGGAGUCUGGCUGCACCUGGCAGGGGACAGCAGGGUCCAGAGGGGACAGCAGGAGUGGGGAGGAGGGUCCGGGCAGGUGGGGCAGGAUAGCCUGGGUCCUGAGCGGGUGGUUCAGACCUCAGCUGGUUUUGCUUGCAGACCUCUGAUGGCCUCAUCGACACCCGAGGACGAGGCUUCCCUGGGGUGAGCAGGGACAGCAACAAGAGGAUGUGAUUCCACUCGGGGCACAAGGGGCCCGCAUGGAGCAGGGCUGCCGUGAGUCUCUCCCAGCGCCCCCUGAGCUCAGCCUUCAAUGCCUCGCGCAGGCUGCUGGGUAACUCUCCUGGGACACCAUCCUGGUCAGGCAUUUCGCCUGUGAAAGACCACUGAGGGCUACGGUCACCUGGAGGCUCAAGGCCAGUCAUUCUGGCCUGGAGUCUGGGCUCACAGCAGUCUCCUCCUGGGCCAGGGGGCCACCACUGUGACUCACACUAUGGACUGAGCCCCAUGGCUCUCAGGCUGCCUGACCAAAGUACACUGCUGUGGGGGUCAGGCCCCUGAACGACCAGGAACCCCCAAUCCCAGCCACUCUGUAGAAGCAGGGCUGGAGGUACCCCUUCGGGCACUCUGCAUACAGCUAUUGAAAAACAAAAAAGGACAAGAAAAAGGCCCCUGGUGUUAUUUACUGAUUUCCCUAGUGUACAUACCUCACCAUGGCCAAUUUCAAGCCGCCAACAUGAAAUUACUGAACACAGCCCUGGGUAGAGGGGCACCAUCAGCUUCCACACCCCUGCGCAUCCCAAAGUCAAGACAGGAUAACCCUAGAGAAGAGCUGCGUGACUUCAGACUUAACCUCUCUGAACCUCAGGCUUCUUGUCUGUAAAAUGGGGGCAACAAUUACAUCUACUUCAAGGCAAUAUCAUGAAAUGAAAUGUCAGAAUCUAGUAGGGCUCUGUACUGGGCACUGGGGAAUGACAGUGGGGGCAAAACAGAGGCGACCUCCCGCCUUCCUAGACCUCCUUGCAGUAGAACCCAGGCAGAGGCUAGAAGCCAGCACUCACUGUGGUCAGAAACAUUGUCGUCACCGUCCCUUCCUUUCUCUGGGCUGACCUUGGAACGUGGGAGCAGAAGCUGUCCAGGAUGCCAGAUGCCACCCACUCCAGCCUUAGGAGGUGCUCAGUCCAUUCCUCCUUCUGAUCUACAAGAACAGAAGAACAAAGUCUCUUUUCAUUGCAGCUUCUUUUCUCAGCCCUAAAAUAGCUUGGGCCUGCUAUCAGCAACCCUCCUUUCCAACUUUCUCAUUCAGAAGCAAAAGGUUUUUAAACCUGAGUAAGGAUCUGCUCCACGCUGUCACUUCUUUCAACUAAAGCCUGGGAAAGGAGCAUUGGAAAAGUCACGUCCAAGAUCAACCCAGCAAGCAGGCUCUGGUUUUGCUAGCGGCAGGCGGCAGUCCCAGGACGCUUCCCCGCUGUGCGCCCUUGGGCAAGCUGGCCUCCUCUGUGGGCCUCCGUCCCCUGGUGUGUACCAAGAGGUGACUGGCCUUAGUUCUGCUGUCGUUCCGGCUCCUAUCACUGUCCAGACUGCCCACUGCACGCUAGGCCUUGCUCUCCCUCCCUCCUCCUUGCCAAAAAAAAGAGGAAAAGAAACUUGCGUUAGGCGUCCGGGGAGGGAGCGUGGCUCGGAGCCGCCGGGCUGCGCGGGCCGUUGCCGGGUGAACCAACCUCGCACAAAUCCCACAACUGCAAAGCCCCACCUCCCCGGUAACCACAGCGACCCGGGCCACGCCUCCGGCCCCCGCAGCCCGCAGCCCGCCAAGGACCACCCCCGGCUCCCCGGGGACCCCUUCGCUCCCUGCGAUCGGCCCAGCCGGGGGCAAACGGCCGACGCCCCCACUCUGCGGAGGUGGAGACUGAGGCCCGAGGGCGGAGACGCGUCCCCGGGACCGCGCCCAUUCCCGGGGCCGCAGUCCGUCUCCGCCCGCGGCGCGCGGAGUUUCCGCGCGGGGUUUCCACGUGGGGAAGACCCAGAGCAGCGCGGGCCCUGGGGAGGGACCCCACCGCCGCGGUCCGGCCUCCCUCCCCUUGUCCAGGCCGAGAAAAUGAGGCCCGCGAGGGGCCGCGCCCGGCAGGAAGCCCCCAGCUCCUCCCAGCGCCUCACCUGCUGAGACCCGCGCGGGAGGUUUCCUGGAGUUGAGCGGCAAACAAAGGCCUCCAAUCCGCGCGCGGGGCGGGGCGCGGCGGGGCGGGGCGGCCGCCUCUUAGCUCCCUGCGGCCGACCCACGGCAGCGGGAGGCGGGGCCUGGGGCGGGGCCUCGUGAAGCUCCACCAAUCACAGGGAGGCGGCUGCUGCGGCCCGCCCCCAGGGACUGGGGACCAGGCUCGCGGCUCGGGACUGAAAAGCUCACUUGUGGUAGGCUGCUGCUUCCGACUGGAGUGCCCCGGGGAGUCCCCGAGGAGAUUAUCGCACGGAGCCACCCGGAGGAAGAAAUCACAAGCUUAUGGCUGAAAUAGGCUGCUUAAUAACUAGCAAUAAACUUUCCUGGGCCAGAGAGGGACAAUAACUGCCCGAGAUCGAGAUCGCGCAGUGACUUCAGGACAAUACUGUCCCCGCAAAGCGCACCUUGAAUAAUGGCCGUAUUAUAGGGUGUCAAACUGAA